rnacentral:rRNA from 1 species
UACGGAGGGUGCAAGCGUUAUCCGGAUUCACUGGGUUUAAAGGGUGCGUAGGCGGGUAUAUAAGUCAGUGGUGAAAGCUCCGGGCUUAACUUGGAACUGCCAUUGAUACUGUAUAUCUUGAAUGGUCGUUGAGGUAAGCGGAAUGUUGCAUGUAGCGGUGAAUGCUUAGAUAUGUUACAGAACACCAAUUGUGAAGACAGCUUACUAAGCGAUAAUUGA